GACGAACGCUGGCGGCGCGCUUAACACAUGCAAGUCGAACGGAAAGGCCUGCUUUCCCUUGUGGAUUGCGGGUACUCGAGUGGCGAACGGGUGAGUAACACGUGAGUGAUCUGCCCCCAACUUGGGUAUAAGCCUGGGAAACUGGGUCUAAUUCCCGAUAGGACUGCAGGGUGGUGCCUGUGGUGGAAAACGAUUUUCUAGUGGUUGGGGAUGAGCUCGCGGCCUAUCAGCUUGUUGGUGGGGUAAUGGCCUACCAAGGCGGCGACGGGUAGCCGGCCUGAGAGGGUGGACGGCCACAUUGGGACUGAGAUACGGCCCAGACUCCUACGGGAGGCAGCAGUGGGGAAUAUUGCACGAUGGGCGGAAGCCUGAUGCAGCGACGCCGCGUGGGGGAUGACGGCCUUCGGGUUGUAGACUCCUUUCGGCCGCGAGGAAGCCACCUGGUUGGAAGGGUGGUGACGGUAGUGGUAGAAGAAGCACCGGCUAACUACGUG
rnacentral:rRNA from 1 species